rnacentral:rRNA from 1 species
UACGAAGGGUGCAAGCGUUACUCGGAAUUACUGGGCGUAAAGGGUGCGUAGGUGGUUCUUUAAGUCUGCUGUGAAAGCCCCGGGCUCAACCUGGGAAUGGCAGUGGAUACUGGAGAGCUAGAGUGCGGUAGAGGGUAGUGGAAUUCCCGGUGUAGCAGUGAAAUGCGUAGAGAUCGGGAGGAACACCAGUGGCGAAGGCGGCUACCUGGACCAGCACUGACACUGAAGCACGAAAGCGUGGGGAGCAGACAGG